GAAAUCCACACCCAAUUUAGGGGCGAGGUGGAGGUAGAAGAUAUGCGCAGGACCUGUGAGGCUGUGGAGGCGGAAGCGGCAGGGCAGCUCCGGGAGCAGCGGACAUCACCUAGAGAUAUCAAAGCAGGACUACAUAGGUUAUCGCUUAGAGACAAGAUUCAUGUGAAUGGAAAGAAAGACUGACUGAGGACCUUUAUAGGAAGUGAAGACCUGAAUGGAAUGUCAUUAGUGCAAAUGGCAUUAAUGAAGUGCUCUUUCAGAUGGCUUAAACAGUUUGUAAUGGGUCCUUGGUUGCUUGUAAUUCUCUUUUCUAUGCAACAAGUUUAUGGGGUAAGUACAUUGAUUAGAGAUUAUUCUCAGGCUUUUGAUUCUAUGCAUACAUUUUUGUGAAUUUUACA
rnacentral:lncRNA from 1 species